CGCCGGGGGCCGACCUGCCGGCUCCUCCCCCCGCCGCCCAGCGAGCAUAAAGCCCCGCGCUCGCCCGCGCGCCCAGGCGCCCGCGGAGGCGGCGGCGCCCGGACCCCACUCCCGUUGGGCUCCCGGGUCCUCGAGGGCAAGAGAGACCCCGAAUCCCGAGGCGGGCCGGGACCUGGGCGCGGCCGCACCCCACACCCACCCUGGCUCGGGGGCCGGGCCGCGGGAACGCCCUCCCGGAAUGAAGCGCUUCCCGGUGCCUUCAAGGUAGCUCGGUUCCGGAUCGGGGACCUCCCCAGUCCUCCCUCUCAGAGUUCUAACCCCACCCCAUCGGAUUGGAAGUACCUAAGCUGCCGGCCCACUGUGUUUGGAGUGACUUCUCUCAGUCCAUCUCAAUUUAGACCACUCCCCAUGGAGGCAAAUGCCUUCCCGGCUUCCUUCUCCCCCCCACCCUGGCUUCUAGGUCUCUGAGAUCCUCCAGUGUUUUCGCCCCAGGCUCCUGGGAACCAUCUCACCCACCCCCUUAAACUCCCUCCCUCUAGCCUGGGAACCCGGAGGAAGCCCAUCCUGGAUCACCUCUGGAUCAAGAGUACUCUCCCUGUCUCCCCUUCUCCAAAUCCAUGUACCCGCCUCAAUCCCCUGGCUGAAAUCAGCCAAGAAACUGUCAAAGCCAAAGGCUGAGGCAGCCAGCCACUCCUGCUCAAAUCCCUAACCCUGCUGGGGGUCUCAGUGCCACAUAAGCCACUCCCGCCCAAUUGCCUCCCACUCCUUCCCCCACCCACCUUCAAUCUAGCCAGUGUAACCCAGUGACAGUCCUUGAUGACAAGUUCCUUGCCCACCUUGACCUCCAUUCUCAAGUCACCCACCUUUUUAUUAAUGUGUGCUAGAGCUCUGGGCAACACAACCCUGACCUCUGUAAGGGUGCCCAUCCCCCUCCUCUUAGUACACCUCCCCUGCCCCCACCCCAACUACCUCUGGGAUAAGAACGUGAGAGACUCAAGUUAAUGGUUUCCUCUGGGACCUUCUGGGAACACUCAGCAGGUAUAUCCUGCCACCCUGUAUGCAUGACACUAGAAACAACUUACUUUUUCCUGUUUUUUGUUUGUUGGUUGGUUUGUUUGUUUGUUUGUUUGUUUAUCAUCAGACUCAAACCACAAUUUCUCAGAAUUCCCUGGACUGGGGGUGGGGGACACCCCACCAUGGGGCAUUUCUCACCAUUUUAGUACAAACUGGAACAUCAGGUGUGUCCUGGAAGAGACUCCUGGGGGUCAGUGGGGAGUACCUCUGGUGUUAGGGCACUGACUAUUCCUAAGUCUAAACCUCUGGUUUCCUGUGUGUAAAACGGGGCCAGUGUGGAGUUGCAGGGAGCCGGGAGCCCCAGGGGCCCAUAAGCAUUGAUUUUGGUGCUGGUGCUGUUGGGCAGGUGGCUUGGAGGGUAGGAAAUGAGUAAAGGUCAUCUGUUCAGAGCCAGCCAAGCCUGCAUGAGAUAGGAUCUAUUUAUGAGCAUCUUCAUGCAGGAUCUUAAAAGAGGAAGCCUCUGCUUAUUGACACUACCUGUCACAUGUGGGGUGAACUUACAGAACCUCCUACUGCAGGUUCACCCCAGUUUCACUGCUUCCUUUCACUUUGUUCACAGUAGGGACAAAGAUUCCUUCUAGGGGUAGCCCUCACAGACAAUACAGGUGUAAAUGGAUGAUCCUCACAGUAAAUUGAAGAUCUCAGCCAUAUUAAGAAAAAAAUGAUCUUUAGAGCAACGGGCCCAGACCCCAGAAUUAGGCAAUUAGAGGAUAUGGUUCCAGCUCUUUCUCUCUAAUUUGAUGCACCCUGAACAUCACUCAGAGAAUUCAAGCAUAAAUUGCUUUAUAUUUUAAAAAAAUCCUUUAGAGAAAUACAGUGGGCAAAUGACAUCAUGCCCAAGCACCGAGAUGCAACUUGGCACUUUCAUUCAUUCCACAAAUGUUUAUUGAACACCUAAGACACUGUGUUAGGUGCUAUCUUCCUAUUACCUACCUAGUGAAACUUGUUCACUAGAGACAGGAGUCAGAAGAUAGAUAGAUAGAUAGAUAGAUAGAUAGAUAGAUAGAUAGAUAGAUAAAUUAGUAAUAUAUCAGGUGGAUGUUGGUAAGUGCUAGGGAGAAGGAAGGGGAAUAGGGAGGGUGGAGGCAUGGGGGAGAUGGUGAUAUGCAAUUGUAAAUCAGGAAAGUUCUCACAGAGAGGGUGAUGUUUUAGCAAAGACCUUAAGGAAAUGAGACCCUUUACUCUGUUAUCCAGAAUUCUCACUUAAGCCGCAGGUCUGCAUCUUUUAAGUGCAAUGAUAAUUAAUAUUCAUCAUUUGAUUUUCACUGCUCUAAAACAGUGGUUCCCAAACUUUAACAUGCAUUAAAAAAAAAAAAAUCAUCCAGUGAUUUUCAGAUGCAGAGUGGAUGGGGGCUCUGAAAACUGUAUCUUUUUAACAAGCACCUCUAUCUGAUGAUGCUGAUAACUGAGGUUUUCCUUGGACCACUGUUGAAGAAACACUAUUUUUAAAUAUACUAAAGAGUCUUCUAGAAUGACAACAACAACAAAAUUAAAGAUUAAAUUACAGUCUGUGUGGUUUUGGUGUUGAGAGUAUUUCACUGUGUUCUCAUUCUCUGAAAAUGCAAUACCCAAGCAAAACCCUGGAUUACCCAGAACAUCCCAUUUCUUGUCCAUACAGGAGAAGGAAAAAUUUACCAUAAGCUAAUAAGGAGCCAAACAUUUAUAAUAACAUUUAUAACUAGUGUGUUUUACACACUUUUCCCCAUUUUUACCCUCAUUCUUCUCUAUAAUUUUUACUUUUUCUAAAUUUCUGGACUCAUCCAUCAGGCAGCUGGCUGGAAUAAUGAGAGCACUUGACCAAGAGUCAAAGGAUCCACAGGUUAAUCCUGGAACCACCACUGUUUCCCGUUGAGUGUCUCUUGGGAUUUGCCACUCUGCCUUCUGAGCUUCCAUUUACUCUCAGUUGCUGUGAGACUUAAGUGAGAUAAUGUAUAUGAAAACAUCUUAAGAAUUCUGUAGGUAAGGAGGCUCUGUGACUGCAUUCCCAGGUCUGAUUAACUUGGUCCAGUUCAAAAUUCAGUUACUUCAGGACAGUGUGGAACUGGCAUGAGGACGUACAUAUAGAUCAAUAGAAUAGAUUUGAGGUCAGAAAUAAACCCUUACAUUUAUGAUCA
rnacentral:lncRNA from 1 species